AUACGUAGGGGGCGAGCGUUGUCCGGAAUGACUGGGCGUAAAGGGCGUGUAGGCGGCGGUGUAAGUCUGGAGUGAAAGUCCCGCAUUCAAUGUGGGAAUUGCUUUGGAUACUGCAGUGCUAGAGUGCGGAAGAGGUAAGUGGAAUUCCCAGUGUAGCGGUGAAAUGCGUAGAGAUUGGGAGGAACACCAGUGGCGAAGGCGACUUACUGGGCCGUAACUGACGCUGAGGCGCGAAAGCGUGGGGAGCGAACAGGAUUAGAGACCCUGGUAGUCCACGCGGGAAACGAUGAAUGCUAGGUGUUGCGGGUAUCGAACCCUGCAGUGCUGGAGUAAACACAAUAAGCAUUCCGCCUGGGGAGUACGGCCGCAAGGUUGAAACUCAAAUGAAUUGACGGGG
rnacentral:rRNA from 1 species